rnacentral:rRNA from 1 species
UACGUAGGGGGCUAGCGUUGUCCGGAAUCAUUGGGCGUAAAGAGCGCGUAGGCGGCCAGAUAAGUCCGGUGUGAAAGUCAAAGGCUCAACCUUUGAAUGCCGCUGGAAACUGUCUGGCUAGAGUCCGGGAGGGGCGAGUGGAAUUCCUGGUGUAGCGGUGAAAUGCGCAGAUAUCAGGAGGAACACCAAUGGCGAAGGCAGCUCGCUGGAACGGUACUGGCGCUGAGGCGCGAAAGCGUGGGGAGCGAACAGG